AACGAGCGCUGGCGGCAUGCCUAACACAUGCAAGUCGAACGAGACCUUCGGGUCUAGUGGCGCACGGGUGCGUAACGCGUGGGAAUCUGCCCUUGGGUUCGGAAUAACAGUGAGAAAUUACUGCUAAUACCGGAUGAUGUCUUCGGACCAAAGAUUUAUUGCCCAAGGAUGAGCCCGCGUAGGAUUAGCUAGUUGGUGGGGUAAUGGCCUACCAAGGCGACGAUCCUUAGCUGGUCUGAGAGGAUGAUCAGCCACACUGGGACUGAGACACGGCCCAGACUCCUACGGGAGGCAGCAGUGGGGAAUAUUGGACAAUGGGCGAAAGCCUGAUCCAGCAAUGCCGCGUGAGUGAUGAAGGCCUUAGGGUUGUAAAGCUCUUUUACCAGGGAUGAUAAUGACAGUACCUGGAGAAUAAGCUCCGGCUAACUCCGUGCCAGCCGCCGCGGUAAGAC
rnacentral:rRNA from 1 species